GACGAACGCUGGCGGCGUGCUUAACACAUGCAAGUCGAACGGAGAGGCCCUGCUUUUGUGGGGUGCUCGAGUGGCGAACGGGUGAGUAACACGUGAGUAACCUGCCCUUGACUUUGGGAUAACUUCAGGAAACUGGGGCUAAUACCGGAUAGGAGCUCCUGCUGCAUGGUGGGGGUUGGAAAGUUUCGGCGGUUGGGGAUGGACUCGCGGCUUAUCAGCUUGUUGGUGGGGUAGUGGCUUACCAAGGCUUUGACGGGUAGCCGGCCUGAGAGGGUGACCGGCCACGUUGGGACUGAGAUACGGCACAGACUCGUCUGGGAGGCAGCAGUGGGGAAUAUUGCACAAUGGGAGGAAGCCUGAUGCAGCACAGCCGCGUGCGGGAUGACGGCCUUCGGGUUGUAAACCGCUUUCGCCUGUGACGAAGCGUGAGUGACGGUAAUGGGUAAAGAAGCUCCGGCUAACUCCGUG
rnacentral:rRNA from 1 species